rnacentral:lncRNA from 1 species
UGGACACUAGUGCAUCACGCUAAGGUUUUGAUUUUCUACUUAUUAAAAAAAAUGGAUGGUGGAAGAUUGUUGAGAAUGGCUUACCCAGUUUAUUUCAUACCACUCCUUGAAAACAGCUCUGUGAUGUAUCCAUCUGUCGAUAUCUAAACUUGAUGAUUACUCCAUGCAUGACAGUGGGAGGACCACACCAGUCUCCGUGACAAUCUACUAUGGAUCACAGAAUGUGUCACACUGCCCCAGUUCUUGGGAGAAGUUUAAGGGGUGGGCUAUGAUGACUUACCGGUGCCGGUCAUUGCUUGCGGACAUAAAAGGAACCUCACCUCCCUGGGAUAUAGUGCUAAAAGUACAUGUGUACAUCCAGUGUGGCCAGAAGUGUUUGUCACGUUCCUGCUGAAUAGCACCGCUGUACUGUCAAACAUGCAAUCCACCUUGCCCAGUUACCGUUGGAUUGGACUGUAUUUGCUGGCAACUUUCCUGUUGACCUGCUCAUUUGAGCGGUCAGUUGCUGCAAAGCAGUUAAUGAAGAGAAGUUCUCCAACAGACAUCAGGGUUGUCAAACGAACGUCAGUGAUGUGUUGUAAAAAAACAAGUCCAGCACGCUUCAGGACGGAGAUCACCAGUUGCAUCAUUCAAAGCAAAUCAGACGUUUGUUUAGCUGCCGUCGUAUUCAGCACGAAUGGGAGAAUGUACUGCAGUUCUCCUCAUGCAAGUUGGGUGAAGUAUAAGGUGCAAGAGUUGGCACAGGUAAGGACUCUGAUAGCACUGUUGUAAACCAACCCCAGUGCCAAACAAACUGUCCAGAGCGCACACCAAUUCUUUCUGUGCAUUUCUGAAUAGAAGAAUAUUGUGUUGGAAGUAUUGUAAUAAUCUAGACGUGUUCUGUUUUUUCUUUUUUUAAUGGAAUCCCACAGAAAGGCAGGCCGUGUUUGGACAGAUGAUCAUGUAGGGAAGAGCUCGAAGUGGAAAGGCCAAGAUCCUACAGUAUAUUCUUUGAAGAUAUCACCUUCACUGCUAUGAAGUUUCUUUAGAUUUUCUGUAUGAAUGAUGAUAUUAUGUUACUUUGUUGUUCUUUGGUAAAAAGUGAUUUUUCUUAAAGCAUAUGAUAAAAGCCUUUGCACAAAGAGCAUUUGACUGUACCUAACAAAUGCACUCAGAGUAUCCUUAAUGUUUUUAAGAUAAAGUUUGUGAAUAUGGGUGAUUCUAACAAUAAAUUAAACAUAUGAAUUAAUCA